UACAGAGGGGGCAAGCGUUGUUCGGAAUUACUGGGCGUAAAGGGCGCGUAGGCGGCCUGCUAAGUCGAACGUGAAAUCCCCGGGCUCAACCCGGGAACUGCGUCCGAUACUGGCAGGCUUGAAUUCGGGAGAGGGAUGCGGAAUUCCAGGUGUAGCGGUGAAAUGCGUAGAUAUCGGGAGGAACACCAGUGGCGAAGGCGAGUCUCUGGGAUGAUGCUGACGCUGAGGCGCGAAAGCCAGGGGAGCAAACGGG
rnacentral:rRNA from 1 species